GCCCACGCGUUUUUCAUUUUUCCAUUUCUCUCAGUCCCAGUUAGAUCUAGGGCUUCAUCACUCCUCUUUCUUAUGGUGAAAGUUCACUAGAUCGAGCAUCGUAUGCUCCGAUUUACGAUCGUAAUCUCUAUCCGACUCUCUUCGUCUUGGCUCAAAGCUCUCAAUCACUUCGAUUUGAAGAUUAAUUUUGGUUAGUCUAUUGAGGCUAAUGCUGCUCAUAGACUAUAUGGAAACAAAUGGGCAAUGAUUGCUAGGCUCUUCCCUGGUAGAACUGACAAUGCAAUGAAGUAUAAGCCCUGUUACAAGCCCUGCACCAAAAUUGUAAAUGACGUCGCAGCAGCAUGAAAACAUCAAAUUUGGUUGUGCCUAACGCAACAAAGGCUGUAAGUAUGCAGAAUAUUAUGGUGAGAACUUGUUGUUAGCUUUAGCCAUCUUGUUUAAAUUCAGUUAAUGUCUUUUUUGUUUUUUGAUUUGUCAAUCAUGCUUAGACAUAGUUUUUUCGAGUCCUAUAUGCAAGUUUUGCUUCUUUUUUUUCCCUCCCAUAUAAUCGGAGGAAAUAUGGUUAUUUUUCUUCAAGUCAAGAAGGAGCUGCUUCUGUUUAUACUUUAGUAGAUGGAAGUGUUGGAGAUUGGUUUGGAGGCUUCCAAUAUUCAGCUGGACAACAGGCUAACGAAGCUGUUCAGGACUAGCUAUUGUCUCGUAGUUUUACUAGGUUCAUAGUCUGCCGAUUGUUUCUGAGUUUGAAUUUGGUCAUUUGGGGAUUUUAUACUUACAGUUUUAUCUGUUGUUCAUGCAUGUUCCUCUUUGCAGCUUGGCUGUUAUAUUUGGCGCAGGACUUGUAACCAGUGGGCAAUGAUUACAAAGAAUGUUACAUAAAUUUUCAAGCUAUGUUUGUAUAUGUUACUGUUAUUAACUAGUGAAGAGAGUUGUUAUCUUAAUUGAUGUGUAGUGAAAUUUGCAGGUGGAAGCUUCUAUUCAAGAGGUAAUUGAAGGGUCAUAAUUGUUAAACAUUGUCAUAUUUAUUGUAAUUAUUUAUUACCUUAACUUCACUUGCCUUGUAUUCUUUGUUAGACACUCUACAUUUUAGUCUUGACAUUGGGAAAUUCUACUUGUGAUGAAUAAGUUGCCAUCACUUAUUAAUGUUGUAGAUUGCCCAUCUGAAUAUUACGUUUGAACUGCUUCCUUUCAGCUAAUCAUAUAAUGAUAGAGAGCAGUUAUAUUAGUGCUGGCUCCUGCUCAUGUCAGGCUUGAAAUCUCAUGUUGUAACAUUAUAUGAAGCAGGAAAACUAGGCCAUAUUAGCAUUGUAGAUCUUUGCAAGGAUUUGAGUACAUUAGAGGGAACAAAAUUUGAGGGAGAACUGCAGAAGUUUGCCAAUCAUGCAUUUACUCUGAUGUGGUCUAGAAUGUUUGAUAUCCGAUGGAGUUGCUAUUGAUGAGAGAACUGUAAAUGUUUGAUAUCCUGUGAGCCUGCGAGACCAAUCUCAAGACAAAAGAAGUCAGUCUUGUUCGAUAUGGAUUUUUGACAUCAGUUAGUUCAGUUCAAAAGGACAAUUUUGCUGAGGGAAAGGUCUGAUUCAAGAUGUAAAAAGGAAUUUGCUGCUUGUUUUUUUUUUUUUUUUUUUUUUUUUUUACCAGGCCCAAAAUUGAAAUCUUGUUAGAAUUUUUAUUUUUAUUUUUAUUUUUGGUAAGAGCAUUAAAAUAUCCAAGUGUGUUGAUGGGUGAAUUUUAGAACUUUUUUAUUUUUU